rnacentral:lncRNA from 12 species
GGGUCCUGACCCCCAAAUGACAGCAGGAGGUGACACCGACAGCUGUGGCUUUAUUCCGGGGGAGUGACAGUGUCCCCAAACCCGCAUGUCCCCAAACCCGGGUGUCCCCGGCCCCCAGAUGCGCCCUUGGUGUCACCUGGGGCACAGGUGUCCCCAGGGACGUGCCCUGGCUGAUGUCGCGUCGCUGUCACUUGCGGCGCAGGGGGAAGGAGGUGGCACCGGGGACGUCCCCAGGGAUGUCCCCAGGAUGUCCCCUCGGGGUCACUGUCACUUUCUGGGCAGGCAGAAGGCGGUGGCACCGUGGGUGUCCCCAGGGAUGUCCCCAGGCUGUCCCCUCAGUGUCACUGCAGUUUCCUGUGCAGGUAGAAGUUGGUGGCACUGGGGAUGUCCCCAGGCUGUUCCCAUUGUGAAUGUCCCCAAGGUGUUCCCAGGGAUGUCCCCAGGCUGUCCCCUGCUGUCCCUGGUGAUGUCCCCAGCUGUCCCCGCUGUCCCCGCUGUCCCCGCUGUCACGGCCGCUGCCGGUGCAGGUAGAAGGCGGUGGCCCCGUGGUCCGACGCCAGGGCCAGCGCUCGCCCCGGGCCGGUGGCCGUGCUGAGGAAGAGCCCGGGGAAGGCGGCGGCCUCGAAGGUGUGCGUGGAGCCGCCGAAGGUCUUGUAGAAGGUGAAGGGCGUGGCCGCGUCCUUGUCACCUGAGAACAGCUCCAGCAGCGCCACGUCCUGCGGGGACAGCGCGCGGUGACACCGCGGUGGCACCGGCACGGGGACAGCCCCGGGCUGGCGGGGUCACCUGUCACACCUGUCAGCAGGUGACCCCGUGUCCAGGUGACAUCACCCCAAGGAACCCACACUGACCCAAUUUCCAGGUGUCCCCAUCUCCAGGUGUCCCCAUGCCCAGGUGUCCCCGUGCCCAGGUGUCCCCGUGCCCAGGUGUCCCCAUCUCCAGGUGUCCCCGUGCCCAGGUGUCCCCAUCUCCAGGUGUCCCCAUACCCAGGUGUCCCCAUGCCCAGGUGUCCCCAUCUCCAGGUGUCCCCAUACCCAGGUGUCCCCAUGCCCAGGUGUCCCCAUCUCCAGGUGUCCCCAUACCCAGGUGUCCCCAUGCCCAGGUGUCCCCAUCUCCAGGUGUCCCCAUACCCAGGUGUCCCCAUGCCCAGGUGUCCCCAUACCCAGGUGUCCCCAUCUCCAGGUGUCCCCACCCCCGGGUGAUGCCAUCAUUAAGUGACACGCCCUGGGGAAUUCCCCACUUCCAGGUGACACCGAUUCCAGGUGACACCACUUCAGGGUGCCCCACCUUGGGGUGACCCACAUUUGGGUCCCAAUCAGUUCUGGAUGUCCCCAGUUUUGGGUUGAUCCAAAUUGAGCUGACCCACCUUGGCUUGGCCCCAGUGCCCCACACUGAGUUGGCUCCUGUCCCUCUGUCCCUCUGUCCCUCUGUCCCUCUGUCCCCUGUCCCCCGUCCCCUGUCCCUCUGUCCCUCUGUCCCCCUGUCCGUCUCUCCCCAUGUCCCCCUGUCCCCCUGUCCCCCCCCCCCCCCCCCCCCCCCCCCCCCCCCCCCCCCCCCCCCCCCCCCCCCCCCCCCCCCCCCCCCCCCCCCC